rnacentral:lncRNA from 1 species
AAAUGUUCCAAGGAUUCCGCUCUCAGGUUCAUACAUUUCAUUCUCCCUGGGGGAGCUCUUCCAGGACCACAGUUUUAACCGGGCCCUAUGUCUGUGUAACUACUACAUCUGUGUCUGCGCCACCGUCUCUCUCUUGCAUGGCAGCUGGGCAUUUCCAAUGUCUUCAUCUAGAUGUUCCAUCUCUAGCCCAAAACAGCCAAAAUAUAACUAGUAUACUUCUUCCCCCGCUUCUCUCAUCCUUGGUUUCCUAUAUUAUUUCAGGGCAACUCAAAAUACCUGGUUACACUGGACUCCCCAGUGAGAGGGGAUCUUCUGCUCCUCUACAGCUAACGCUGUCUCAAAUUCCCCUCUUCCUCUCCUUUCCCAGGGUCUCUGCCUCUACUGCAUGCGUUUAUCAUAGCCAUAACUGGUCUUCCUACGUUCUGAAUUGUGUUUCUAAAGUUCAGAACUCCUGAUGUCACUUUAUUGCUUAAAAUUAUCCAGGCUUCCCUAUUGCUACUGGACAACUCAACACCUCACCCAUCCCUGGGUCUCCAUUCAUAUUCCUCCCCUGACUUGAAUGGUCUCUGGAACAACUGCUAAAUCCUCCAUUUCUCUCAAGUUUCACUCAGCUGUCACCUACUUUGGUCUCUAAGCAUCACUGACUGAUUCUCUUACACAGACUCUUCAGUGCUCAUAUGCUGCUGCUGCUGCUAAGUCGCUUCAGUCGUGUCCGACUCUGUG